UGGGGAAUAUUGCACAAUGGGGGAAACCCUGAUGCAGCGACGCCGCGUGAACGAAGAAGGUAUUCGUAUCGUAAAGUUCUGUCCUAUGGGCAGAUAAUGACAGUACCAUAGAAGAAAGCUCCGGCUAAAUACGUGCCAGCAGCCGCGGUAAUACGUAUGGAGCGAGCGUUGUCCGGAAUUAUUGGGCGUAAAGGGUACGCAGGCGGUUUAAUAAGUCGAAUGUUAAAGAUCGGGGCUCAACCCCGUAAAGCAUUGGAAACUGAUAAACUGGAGUAGUGGAGAGGAAAGUGGAAUUCCUAGUGUAGUGGUGAAAUACGUAGAUAUUAGGAGGAAUACCAGUAGCGAAGGCGACUUUCUGGACACAAACUGACGCUGAGGUACGAAAGCGUGGGGAGCAAACAGG
rnacentral:rRNA from 1 species